rnacentral:rRNA from 1 species
ACUCGAACGGACAAGCCAGCAAUGGUUUGUUAGUGGCGAACGGUCGCGUAACACGUAAGCAACCUGCCUCGAAGUGGGGGACAACAUCCUGAAAGGGGUGCUAAUACCGCAUGUGGAUAUUUAGUCGCAUGACUUUUUAUCUAAAGGCCUUCGGGUCGCUUCGAGAUGGGCUUGCGGCCUAUCAGGUAGUUGGUGGGGUAACGGCCUACCAAGCCUUCGACGGGUAGCUGGUCUGAGAGGACGAUCAGCCGGAUUGGGACUGAGAUACGGCCCAGACUCCUACGGGGGGCAGCAAUUAGGAAUCUUGCACAAUGGGCGAAAGCCUGAUGCAGCGACGCCGCGUGAAGGAUGAAGGAUUUCGGUCUGUAAACUUCUUUUAAGUGGGAAAAAAUUUGACGGUACCACUUGAAUAAGCCCCGGCUAACUACGUGCCAGCAGCCGCGGUAAUACGUAGGGGGCGAGCGUUGUCCGAAGUUACUGGACGUAAAGCGCGCGUAGGCGGCUAUUUAAGUCUGGGGUGAAAGGUUCAGCGCUCAACGUGAACAUUGCCUUGGAUACUGGAUGGCUUGAGUCUGACAGAGGGAAACGGAAUUCCUGGUGUAGCGGUGAAAUGCGUAGAUAUCAGGAGGAACACCGGUGGCGAAGGCGGUUUCCUGGGUUAAGACUGACGCUGAGGUGCGAAAGCGUGGGGAGCGAACGGGAUUAGAUACCCCGGUAGUCCACGCCGUAAACGAUGAGUGCUAGGUGUUCGGGGUAUCGACCCCCCGGGUGCCGUCGCUAACGCAUUAAGCACUCCGCCUGGGGAGUACGGCCGCAAGGUUGAAACUCAAAGGAAUUGACGGGGGCCCGCACAAGCGGUGGAGCAUGUGGAUUAAUUCGUCACUAACCGAAGAACCUUACCCAGGUUUGACAUCUGUGGAACCUGCCUGAAAGGGCGGGGUGCCCUCGGGAGCCACAA